rnacentral:rRNA from 1 species
GGCCGCGGGAAUUCGAUUCAGGCCUAACACAUGCAAGUCGAACGGCAGCACGGGAGCAAUCCUGGUGGCGAGUGGCGAACGGGUGAGUAAUAUAUCGGAACGUGCCCAGUAGUGGGGGAUAGCCCGGCGAAAGCCGGAUUAAUACCGCAUACGACCUGAGGGUGAAAGCGGGGGAUCGCAAGACCUCGCGCUACUGGAGCGGCCGAUAUCAGAUUAGCUAGUUGGUGGGGUAAAGGCCUACCAAGGCAACGAUCUGUAGUUGGUCUGAGAGGACGACCAGCCACACUGGGACUGAGACACGGCCCAGACUCCUACGGGAGGCAGCAGUGGGGAAUUUUGGACAAUGGGCGCAAGCCUGAUCCAGCAAUGCCGCGUGCAGGAAGAAGGCCUUCGGGUUGAAACUUAAUGGUCAGGGAAGAAAUCUUCUGGGCUAAUACCCCGGGAGGAUGAC